GGGGAUGUAAAGGUCUCGACGUGCAUGGUUGUAUCAUGAAUAGCGAGCCGGUGUGUCAUCUGACCGUAAAACGGUGAAACUUUCAAAUUAAACGCAAAAGAAAACAAUUUUGCUUUAGCUGCCUAAUCGCAGCUAACGUCUCGCCUCGCUACUCCUGCGGGCUUGGUGUAGACGUCACUUAGCGGGAUACUAUAAGGCUUUUGCCUAAGGGCCUUAUGGGAAACUCCUAGGCUGGAACAGUGUAGUUUGUCCUUGUACGAUAGCUGUUUGAGACAUAAAACAAGGUCUGCGCUCGGAGAAGUUCGUGGGGCAGUAUGUGCGGACAGGAGUUCGACUCUCCUCAUCUCCACCA
rnacentral:tmRNA from 1 species